rnacentral:rRNA from 1 species
GAUGAACGCUAGCGGCAGGCUUAACACAUGCAAGUCGAGGGGCAGCACGUCUUCGGAUGGUGGCGACCGGCGCACGGGUGCGUAACGCGUAUAGAACCUACCUUUUACAGGGGAAUAGCCCAGAGAAAUUUGGAUUAAUGCCCCAUAGUAUUAUUAGAUGGCAUCAUUUGAUAAUUAAACAUUUAUGGGUAAAAGAUGGCUAUGCGUUCUAUUAGCUAGAUGGUAAGGUAACGGCUUACCAUGGCGACGAUAGAUAGGGGUCCUGAGAGGGAGAUCCCCCACACUGGUACUGAGACACGGACCAGACUCCUACGGGAGGCAGCAGUGAGGAAUAUUGGACAAUGGGCGAGAGCCUGAUCCAGCCAUGCCGCGUGCAGGAAGACGGUCCUAUGGAUUGUAAACUGCUUUUAUACAGGAAGAAACACUCCCUCGUGAGGGAAUUUGACGGUACUGUAUGAAUAAGCACCGGCUAACUCCGUGCCAGCAGCC